rnacentral:tRNA from 1 species
ACUUCAGUAGCUUAAGCUUAAAGAGCAUAGUGUUGAAGCCGCUAAGGUGGGCCUACUAGCCCCUGGGGUG